GAUGAACGCUGGCGGCGUGCCUAAUACAUGCAAGUCGAGCGAACAGACGAGGAGCUUGCUCCUCUGACGUUAGCGGCGGACGGGUGAGUAACACGUGGAUAACCUACCUAUAAGACUGGGAUAACUUCGGGAAACCGGAGCUAAUACCGGAUAAUAUAUUGAACCGCAUGGUUCAAUAGUGAAAGACGGUUUUGCUGUCACUUAUAGAUGGAUCCGCGCCUCAUUAGCUAGUUGGUAAGGUAACGGCUUACCAAGGCAACGAUGCGUAGCCGACCUGAGAGGGUGAUCGGCCACACUGGAACUGAGACACGGUCCAGACUCCUACGGGAGGAAGCAGUAGGGAAUCUUCCGCAAUGGGCGAAAGCUUGACGGAGCAACGCCGCGUGAGUGAUGAAGGUCUUCGGAUCGUAAAACUCUGUUAUUAGGGAAGAACAAAUGUGUAAGUAACUAUGCACGUCUUGACGGUACCUACUCAGAAAGCCACGGCUAACUACGUG
rnacentral:rRNA from 1 species